AAGCAGCUCCUCCUGGCUCACAUGUUGUCACGUGCCACGACGAAGACAACGGCCUGCGACCUCGACAGCAACGAUGUAGAAGUACAUGCCGACCACCCCGCUCGAGUGCGGCGCAUCGCACGCUGAGCUGCUGAUGGGACGACGGCUCCGCACAACUAUUCCUGACGUUCAAGGCAACACCAGGCACGAGGUGCUCCGGCGUCCUCAGACAGACCACUCUAGGAGACCACUGGCGCACCUGAGCCCGGGAGAUACGGUCCGGAUAAAGAAAGGAACAUGGGCGACGAAA